GCAGCCGCGGUAAUACGUAGGGAGCGAGCGUUAUCCGGAAUUAUUGGGCGUAAAGGGUGCGUAGAUGGCAAUAUAAGUCUUAUGUAAAAAUGCUGGGCUCAACCCAGUAGGGCAUAAGAUACUGUAUAGCUCGAGUAUUGGAGAGGCAAGUGGAACUCCAUGUGUAGCGGUAAAAUGCGUAAAUAUAUGGAAGAACACCAGUGGCGAAGGCGGCUUGCUAGCCAGAUACUGACAUUGAGGCACGAAAGCGUGGGGAGCAAACAGGAUUAGAUACCCC
rnacentral:rRNA from 1 species